GAUCUGCCCCCCUCGGCCUCCCAAAGUGCUGGGAUUACAGGACUGAGCCACCAUUCCCAGCCCCAAAUGAAUUUCUGUUACUUCACAGCCUUUUGUCAAAGCAUUAUGCCUUAGGCCGACCCCACACCCCCAGGGAAAGGAAAAAAGCCUCAGGCAUCCUUAGAUGACUGCCCUCAGAAAUUGUUCUGUGCUGGCUUUGAACCCUUUCAAGAUGUCCUAUAAAACAAGGACAUGCCAAUUCUUACUUCAGGUCUGCCUGCAAUCUAAGUCUAGCUCCUAAAGUAAGAGUUUGUUAGAUUUCACACUGAUGAUGCUUGUAUUGAUGAAAAAGAAAGCCGAACUCUAAAAUACUUGAAGAGAUGUAUUAUUCUGAGCCAAUGUGAGGACAAUAAUCCAUGACAAAGCCCCAGGAGGUCCUGAGAACACGUGCCCAAGAUGGUUGGGUUACAGCUUGAUUUUAUGUAUUUUAGGGGGACAGAAGUUACAAUCAGAGACAUAAAUCAAUAGACGCAAGGUGUACAUUGAUUUUGCCCAGAAAGGCAGGACAUCUCAAAAGGGGAAGCCUUGCAAGUCAGGUGGAUUUAAAGAUUUCUGAUUGGCAACUGGUUGAAAGGGUUAAAUUUGGGCCGGGCACAGUGGCUCACACCUGUAAUCCCAGCACUUUGGGAGGUCGAGGUGGGGUGGAUCACGAGGUCAAGAGUUCAGGACCAGCCUGGCCAACGUGGUGAAACCCUGUCUCUGCUAAGAAUACAAAAAUUAGGCAGGUGUGGUGGCACAUGCGUGUAAUCCCAGCUACUCAGGAGGCUGAGGCAGGAGAAUAGACUCUGUCUCAGAAAAAAAAAAAAAAAAAGUUAAAUUCUGCCUAAAGAAUUGAAGUAUUCAAUUCUACCUAAAGUGUUGAAGUCCACAGAAAUGUUUGCAGUUAAGAUCAUGAGAGGGUAUAGAAGGCAAGGUUCUUGGUUUUGUUUUGUUUUUGAGAUGGAGUCUCACUCUGUCUCCCAGGCUGGAGUGCAAUGGCAUGAUCUCAGCUCACUGCAACCUCUGCCUCUUGGGUUUAAAUGAUUCUCCUGCCUCAGCCUCCUGAGUUGCUGGGAUUGCAGGCGUGCACCACCGUGCCCAGCCGGAAAACAUUCUUUCUCAAAAAAAAAAAAAAAAAAGCUGGGUGCGGUGGCUCACGCCUGUAAUCCCAGCACUUUGGGAGGCGAAGGCGGGGGGAUCGUGAAGUCAGGAGAUCGAGACCAUCCUGGCUAACAUGGUGAAACCCCGUCUGUACUAAAAAAAAUACAAAAAAAUUAGGCA
rnacentral:lncRNA from 1 species